GAUAAGAACGUAGCGAAAUGCGAUAAGUAAUGUGAAUUGCAGAAUUCAGUGAAUCAUCGAAUCUUUGAACGCACCUUGCGCCCCUUGGUUAUUCCAAAGGGCAUGCCUGUUUGAGUAUCAUGAACACCUCAACUCUUGUGGUUUCCCACAAUGAGCUUGGACUGUGGAGGUUUUGUUGGCCCUGUGGUCAGCUCCUCUCAAAUGGAUCAGCUUACCGGUGUUUGGUGGCAUUACGGGUGUGAUAACUAUCUACGCUCGUGGUCGUCUCCAAAUAACCUCCAGUGAUGGAGGUUCGCUGGAGCUUAUAAAUGUCUCUCCCCAGUGAAGACAGCCUUUGAACGUUCGAUCUCAAAUCAGGUAGGACUACCCGCUGAACUUAAGCAUAUCAAUAAGCGGAGGA
rnacentral:misc_RNA from 1 species